GGAUCGACGACGAGGGAAAGGAAUCUUUUAGAAAAUUGCGGCAUACGUGAAAAAAGCAGCAGGCACUUGAAAAGGAAACAGUCACCUCGUAGUGGGCGUGCGGAUGCCUUUUAUAAAGUGCGAUUAAUGUGUUGACAGUUUCAGGAUGACGAUGUAGGUUGUCGUUUGCGUUAGAUCGGCUUAGCCGUCAUUACCGUACCGGCUUCACAUGAGAAUUCACUCACAGCCGUACCUCGGACGAGUUCUCUCUUAUCGGUCUUCUGAUCAUUACUGAAUUCGAAGGACCGGGUCAGAACAAUUGAGUUACAUGAUUCGUGCGAAAUGUGUAACCUCGUAAAUGUAGACGCACCGAGACCUUCGAGGUGUCCGUCGACAAAUGCCGAAAAUUUGCCCUGGGAAAGAAGAUAGAUGUAAAGCAUACGCAAGGUCAUGACUUACAGAUAGCCGUCAUUAAAAGAACAUCAAGCAACGUGAGAGAAGACACUUGUUUUGAUUUUGGAGGAGGCGUUGUGCUGGAAAGAUUUAGAUAAUUGCUAUAUAAUAAAUAAACAGGAGAAAUAAAUGUGUGAUAAUGGCGCGUACGUAUACACGUGUAAAACCAAUCUUUACUUUUAAUUAUACUUCUACCAAGGGAAAAUCUAGUAAAAUUUAUAGAACAAGAAACGAUAAAGUUCGUGUCAUUAUUCAUUUCAAGCACACUCUGCAUAUUCUCUUUACUCUAUGUAGCCAAGGGAAAGCUUAUGCCAUAAAAUUAGGCUAGAAGCUGGCAAUAUGUCUUUGCCUCCUUUUACGUAAGUAGCUUUAUGGUGCUUUGGCGAAGCCCGCGGGUAUAGCCACGGGCGUGGUUCUUUUGUCGAGGCGAGCUGACGUUAUCGAGAGAUCGUAGGAUGAAUCGAUUUGCAAGUAUGCAGGGCGACACCAAAGUAACCGUGAGAACAAUUCAGCGACUCCUUCGUUGGAAAAAUCGGUCGAAGCGACACGUUGCGAAAACGCGAUUUAUAAUCGACCGUUUGCUCCUUCUUCGUUGCUAACAUGUCACUGUGGAUUCCUCGGGAAUUCCAGUCGGUACGCUGACGCGCUACGUAUAUACGAAAACAAUUAUCAAAACACACACUUCUGUGCGUAGGCAUCGCGGUACAUUCUCCUUGGGAAACUUCAAAAUAAAUAAACGAAGGUCAAUAAAGUCCACGUUUCUUGGCGAUUCUCUUCGACCCCGACUUUUACUACGCGGAAGCUAUCGAAGAAGAAAUUCCAGCGGCUGACUUUUCUUCACAUCGCCGAUGAUUACUGACAACAAUUUCGCAAGUUUGAUUAGCCUUCAAGUACUGCUACGAGAAAAGAAAAGAUAACCUAAUCAAUGAACUUUCUCUCAAUGAUGCGCCGAUUAUCUGAGUAUUAACAAAACAUCGAACGAAGGACGAAAAAGGCAAAGCACCUGGAAUAAAAAUGCCACAAAAACAAGGGAAUAAAAAGAAGUUUUGCGCUUAUUUUUCGCGUCUAACUUUAUCUUUGCUUACGAUAGACGUAGUUUGAAGUAUUUCUCAAAUCUACGAGCCUACAGGACGACCUCGAGGACGUGUCGAAGCUUCGAUCUAAUGCACCUGGCAAUCAUAUUCUCAAAGUUAGAUAACGUUUACACCAUACCGGGGCGCAAUUAAGCGUUUCGUAGAAUCGCGCACGGACAUUAUUAUCGUGUGUAUUACGAGUCAGAGAGAUGUGCGGUAAUUUAUCCCGUCGUGAAGAGAUUCCUGCCGCGCGACGUCAUUGAAGGAGCCGGCAGGACCUUCGCUCGGCCUGAUCGUCCCGGGGUCGUCGAGGUUGCCUCGCGCGAACACUAUACCAGCGCAUACGUGACGUACUAUAGGAAAUAACAAUCCGCGUAAUUGAUGGAUCAUGCCGGUCUGCGGAGAUGUCGGUUCGCCGCUCUUUUUACGGAGCGUGCGUGUCCACGCACGGGUUCGCUUUCUCCAGAAUUACGUCACGCCGGGGCACCCCGUUUCUUUCGUCCGGUUACGGGACCAGACACGCCCGCUAUGGUCCCGAUGCGACCGCGCGCAAAUUCGCCAAAAUUCCUUUCGUCUGCUUAUCGAGUUGUCGAUGUGUUUCGCAGACAGCCGUUGCUGUGACGCCCGAGAUAUCCUUCAGGUUCUUAAAGACACAUCAACGAC